UACAGAGGAGCCAAGCGUUGUCCGGAUUGACUGGGCGUAAAGCGCACGCAGGCGGUCUGGCGCGUGGGGUGUGAAAUCUGGCCGCUUAACGGCCAGGCGCAUCCCAUACGGCCGGACUGGAGCCUUGCAGAGGUCGGUGGAAUUGCCGGUGUAGUGGUGAAAUGCGUAGAGAUCGGCAGGAACACCCAGGGGGAAACCAGCCGAACUGGGCAAGUGCUGGACGCUGAGGUGCGAGAGCGGUGGGGAGCGAAACCGGAUUAGAGUACCCGUUGAUGAGU
rnacentral:rRNA from 1 species